AACGAACGCUGGCGGCAUGCCUAACACAUGCAAGUCGAACGAGACCUUCGGGUCUAGUGGCGCACGGGUGCGUAACGCGUGGGAACCUGCCUUUAGGUUCGGAAUAACUCAGAGAAAUUUGAGCUAAUACCGGAUGAUGUCUUCGGACCAAAGAUUUAUCGCCUUUAGAUGGGCCCGCGUUGGAUUAGCUAGUUGGUGGGGUAAAGGCCUAACAAGGCGACGAUCCAUAGCUGGUCUGAGAGGAUGAUCAGCCACACUGGGACUGAGACACGGCCCAGACUCCUACGGGAGGGAGGAGUGGGGAAUAUUGGAAAAUGGGAGAAAGCCUGAUACAGAAAUGGCGCGUGAGUGAUGAAGGCAUUAGGGUUGUAAAGCUCUUUUACCCGAGAUGAUAAUGACAGUAUCGGGAGAAUAAGCUCCGGCUAACUCCGUG
rnacentral:rRNA from 1 species